GAAAUCAUACUAUACAGAAUCAUUUCUGUAGUGUGUAUUUCGCGAUCCCAACCAAAAAGCGACACCUGUCCGCCGCGAUGAACGGGAGAGGGGCGAGCUGCGAGCGGGAAGAACGCGGCUUGCCGCGCUGAGGACCGCGACGCGACCGAAAGGACGCGUCAGCGACUCGCUCUUCUGAGCGGU
rfam:Oesophagostomum dentatum strain OD-Hann O_dentatum-1.0_Cont730326.1, whole genome shotgun sequence.